CCUACGGGGGGCAGCAGUGAGGAAUAUUGGUCAAUGGGCGAGAGGCUGAACCAGCCAAGUCGCGUGAGGGAAGACGGCCCUACGGGUUGUAAACCUCUUUUGUCGGGGAGCAAAGCGAACCACGUGUGGUUCAUUGAGAGUACCCGAAGAACAAGCAUCGGCUAACUCCGUGCCAGCAGCCGCGGUAAUCCGGAGGAUGCGAGCGUUAUCCGGAUUUAUUGGGUUUAAAGGGCGAGUCGGCGGGAUUGCAAGUCAGAUGUGAAAACUAUGGGCUCAACCGAUAGAGUGAAUUUGAAACUGCAGGUCUUGAGUGAUGGAGAGGCAGGCGGAAUUCCCGGUGUAGCGGUGGAAUGCGUAGAGAUCGGGAGGAACACCAGUGGCGAAGGCGGCCUGCUGGACAUUAACUGACGCUGAGGCGCGAAAGCGUGGGGAGCAAACAGGAUUAGAUACCCGAGUAGUC
rnacentral:rRNA from 1 species